rnacentral:rRNA from 1 species
AAUGUGGUAACACUGCUAAAUGGGUACCUAUACAAUGGCACUCCGCCUCCGGUAUCGGACAGCGCCCGUAAGAUCGGGUCCGAUAGCAUUGUAUUCUAGAUGGUGAGCCUAAAAGCGACCAUAUCCACUUAAAGUCGAGGUACGCAUUCCAUGCGCGCCUCGACCUCACUUCUCAAUAUAUAAGAACCCUCAGAGACUAUACGCCGAACAAGUAAUUAAUUACUUGAAGAUAUAGUCCGAACUUCAUGGCGACAUGAAGAGGUAAGUAGAAAUACCUUGCCUUACAAGAAAUUGUAAAUAACAAAAUUGUAGAUACCCCAGUAGUCCACGCCCUAAACAAUGAUCUCUCGCUUUGAGGAGUAUCGACCCUCUUCGAGGCUUAGCUAACGCGAUAAGAGAUCCGCCUGGGUAGUACGGCCGCAAGGUUGAAACUCAAAGGAAUAGACGGGGACUUGCACAAGCGGUGGAACAUGUGGUUCAAUUCGACGCUAAACGAAGAACCUUACCAGGGUUAGAAAUCCAGACGAAUGCCCGCAGAAACGUGGGCAGCCGAAAGGCGGCUGGACAGGUGCUGCAUGGCUGUCGUCAGUUCGUGGUUUGAACUGUUCCCUUCAGUGGGGUAACGAACGCAACCCCUGUUGCCUGUUACAAGUGUCAGGCGAGACCGCCCAGCCCUCAAUAUGUGAGGGAAGGAGGUCGGACAGGAAUGAUGAUAGUUAGUUUUAAGUUUGAUUUCCGAUCUUUUUCAGAGCCUCAUAUGGUGAGGGCUGGGAGGAAGGUGGGGAUGACGCCAAGUCAGCAUGGCCCUCUGACACCCUGGGCUACACACGUGUUACAAUGCGCGGUACAACGGGACGCAAUGCCGUAAGGCGGAGCAAACCCUUAGAAAACCGCGCUCAGUUCGGAUUGAGGUCUGCAACUCGACCUCAUGAAGCCGGAAUCGCUAGUAAUCGCAGGUCAGCUAUACUGCGGUGAAUACGUUCUCAAGUCUUGUACUCGGGUCGCCAUGCGAUCGAGUACGCUAGUUGGUGCAAAUCCAACCAAAGCGAUCAACAGCGCUUUGAAGCGAAAUCACAGUCU